UACAGAGGGGGGCGAGCGUUGUUCGGAAUUACUGGGCGUAAAGGGCGCGUAGGCGGCCCGCUAAGUCGAACGUGAAAUCCCCAGGCUCAACCUGGGAACUGCGUCCGAUACUGGCAGGCUUGAAUCCGGGAGAGGGAUGUGGAAUUCCAGGUGUAGCGGUGAAAUGCGUAGAUAUCGAGAGGAACACCUGCGGCGAAGGCGGGUUGCUGGGCCGACACUGACGCUGAGGCGCGAAAGCCAGGGGAGCGAACGGG
rnacentral:rRNA from 1 species